rnacentral:rRNA from 1 species
GGUCAAGCUACAAAGGGCUCACGGCGGAUACCUUGGCACACAGAGGCGAUGAAGGACGUGGUUACCUGCGAUAAGUCUCGGGGAGCUGGAAGCACGCUUUGAUCCGGGAAUUUCCGAAUGGGGCAACCCUUAAUACGGCCAGCUGAAUCCAUAGGCUGGCACGAGCCA